UAUAUCCAGCUGUAUAACUAGAUACAAUGUAAGUCGCUCUGGAUAAGAGCGUCUGCUAAAUGCCUGUAACGUAAUGUAAUGUAACGUAUAUACUUGACUAUGCUGAAACCUACACAACAAACAAGGGGCAUUUAAUAAAAAUAAAAGAUUAUCUUUGGAAA